rnacentral:rRNA from 1 species
UACGAAGGGGGCUAGCGUUGUUCGGAAUCACUGGGCGUAAAGCGCACGCAGGCGGAUCGAUAAGUCGGGGGUGAAAGCCCGGGGCUCAACCUCGGAAUUGCCUUCGAUACUGUCGGUCUCGAGUCCGGGAGAGGUGAGUGGAAUUCCUAGUGUAGAGGUGAAAUUCGUAGAUAUUAGGAAGAACACCAGUGGCGAAGGCGGCUCACUGGCCCGGUACCGCCGCUCAGGUGCGAAAGCGUGGGGAUCAAACAGG